UGUCACGUGAUCAGCAGAGUGUGUGGUGCAUUCUGGGUGUUGUAGUUGUCUGAGAAACUCAGUGGAGGUAAGUGUGGAAGGACAGGGAGUGCCUACAACACCAGACGUGACACUAUCAGUGCCCUGAUUCCACCACGCAAGGAACUUCCCUUAGGGAAAGAAUGUCAAGUUUGGGCUUAUACAAGAAGCACUCGCUUGAUCAUUCUCUCCUUGCCAAAUUCAGCACUGCAGCAGCACUGACCUGUGCUUCACGGACAGGGUUCUGCACGAGCGCGUUGAUGAUGACGAUGAGUCAGAUGAGAGGUUCUUCAUCUCCUCCACUGGCAGAACCAUCCACAACGCCUCCAAUGACCUGGAGCGGCUGCACAAGAAGUAUCAGGUGCCGAAGGUGACCAGCCAGAUGGCCAGACGGGCGUAUGAGACAGCCAGGACAUGCCCGAUGCCGUAAAGUCCAAGGUGGCGGGCUACCUCACCCAUUCGACGGCCACGGCAGAGAAGCACUACCGGAUGAAGGAGAUAAGCUCAGGGGUAGAUGCGUGCCUGAUCCUGAGGAGACUGCGGGGUGA